AUCUGUAAUCUUGACAUCCUAAUCUUUCCAACGAGUGGUCGUUUACUCAAAACGGAUAUCGUUUGAUAUUUUAAUUAAAGUGCGAAAGUUAAGGUGUUGUUGCUAUGUUUGUGCAGAAAAACUGAUUUUAAAAGAAUAAUCUUGAUUCCUUUUGUCAAAAGUGUUUUCAAUUAUAUGAAAUGUUUUAAUUUACUUUGAUAUUUUCACUUAGCUUCAUUGUGUUGAUUCCAAUUUUUUGUUUACUUUCUUAAAUGGCAAGAUGAAAUAAUUUGUUUAUAAUCAUAUAUAUAUUAACUCAAUCAAUGUACCAAUCAUAUUUUCAUUUGUAUGUUUUACUAAUGAAUUUUGAAAUAAUGAAUAUGAAGUGAACCAAACACUAGCUACUUUAGGCUUCUUUGGAGUUGAGAAGNNNNNNNNNNNNNNNNNNNNNNNNNNNNNNNNNNNNNUGUUCUCAAUAUCUCAUCUUGAUAUCCUUCAUUCAAUAAUUAGGUGACUAAUCUACCACAUCUUUCUAACAUCACAUGCAACCUUCCUUUCAUGAUCAUAUGAUGCCAUCAUUACUUCUCUAUCAUCAUUAUAUCUAUUACUAGCUAUUGUUAUCAUGAUUAUCCCUAUUACUAGCUAUCAUAUAAUGAUUAUACCUAUUAUCUUUAUUUCUUGCUUCAUGUGACAUGUGUAAAGAAGUGAAGAGACAAGUGGCAUCAUGCAUGUAUGCCAAUGAAUAAGUGUCUUCAUAGAUGAAUUCAUUAACCCUAUGUAAACCAACUCCUCCUAAAACUACAUUCACACACUAAUUUUACCAUCAUUGUAACUUAUCAUUAAUAAAUUAAUAACUUAUGACUAAUCUACCACAUCUUUCUAACAUCACAUGCAACCUUCCUUUCAUGAUCACAUGAUGCCAUCAUGGCUUCUCUAUCACAUUAUAUUUAUUACUAGCUAUUCAUAUCAUGAUUAUCCCUAAUACUAGCUGUCAUAUCAUGAUUAUACCUAUUAUCUCUAUUUCUUGCUUCAUGUGACAUGUGUAAAGAAGUGAAGAGACAUGUAUGUCAAUGAAUAAGUGUCUUCAUAGAUGAAUUCAUCAACCCUAUGUAAACCAACUCCUCCUAAAACUACAUUCACAUACUAAUUUUACCAUCAUUGUAACUUAUGAUUAAUAAAUUAUAUUUUAAAUUUUCUUUUAAGUAAUUAGUCUAUUUUUUUUAUGUAGCAUUUUUUAAUUUG
rnacentral:lncRNA from 1 species